UCCGGCCACUGGUCGGGGGCGAUCGUGUCGAUGGUGACGGCGAGCACGUCGACCGAGGCGUGCAGCAGCAGGUCCGGCUCCAGCUCGUCGGGA
rnacentral:tRNA from 2 species